rnacentral:piRNA from 1 species
UCCCAUUCUACGUGGGUCUCGGUGCCAGC